rnacentral:rRNA from 1 species
UACCAGCACCCCGAGUGGUCGGGACGAUUAUUGGGCCUAAAGCAUCCGUAGCCGGUUCUACAAGUCUUCCGUUAAAUCCACCUGCUUAACAGAUGGGCUGCGGAAGAUACUAUAGAGCUAGGGGCGGGAGAGGCAAGCGGUACUCGAUGGGUAGGGGUAAAAUCCUCUGAUCCAUUGAAGACCACCAGUGGCGAAGGCGGCUUGCCAAUACGCGCUCGACGGUGAGGGAUGAAAGCUGGGGGAG